GACAGCGUAGCUCAAUGGUAGAGCGCAGCGCUGUUUAAAUAGCGUCUGAUUUCCAAAAAGCGGUUGAUUUCCAGACAGCGCUUGAGACGUGGGUUCGAAUCCCACCGUUGCCA